GGGAAGCUCGUGGCCGGGACCCCGAGGCGGGAGCGCGGGCUGGGCCGGGCUGGGCUACGCGCACGGGCUCGGCCGCCGCCCCUGCCGAAAACAGCCUUCCACAGAAGUCAGACGCUGGGCUACAGGAACGGCUAUGCAAUUGUUCGACGUCCAACAGUUGGGAUAGGCGGAGACCGGCUCCAGUUCAACCAGCUGUCCCAGGCUGAGCUGGAUGAGUUGGCCAGUAAGGCACCAGUCUUAACUUAUGGCCAACCUAAACAAGCCCCACCUGCGGAUUUUAUUCCUGCGCAUGUGGCCUUUGACAAAAAGCUAUUGUAAAAGGGGUUGAGUUAUUGAUUUGAUUCUCAGCUUGGUCGCUGUUGGUGUAAAGAAGAGCUACUGAUAUGUGUAUAUUAAUUUUGUAUCCCGAAACUUCGCUGAAUUCUUUUAUCAGUUCUAGGAGCUUUCUGGAGGAGUCUUUAGGAUUUUCCAGGUACUGAAAUUUGAUGCCUAUUUC
rnacentral:sRNA from 1 species